rnacentral:rRNA from 1 species
UACGGAGGGUGCAAGCAUUAAUCGGAAUGAUUGGGCGUAAAGCGCGCGCAGGCGGUCCUUUAAGUCUGAUGUGAAAGCCCACGGCUCAACCGUGGAGGGUCAUUGGAAACUGGGGGACUUGAGUGCAGGAGAGAAGAGUGGAAUUCCACGUGUAGCGGUGAAAUGCGUAGAGAUGUGGAGGAACACCAGUGGCGAAGGCGACUCUUUGGCCUGUAACUGACGCUGAGGCGCGAAAGCGUGGGGAGCAAACAGG